rfam:Caenorhabditis brenneri strain PB2801 C_brenneri-6.0.1_Cont253.10, whole genome shotgun sequence.
GUCGCCAUAGCUCAGUUGGUUAGAGCGUGGGUUAAUAAUCCUAGACGAGGAACUACUAACACACCCAAGGUCGCAGGUUCGAACCCUGCUGGCGGCA